AAAAAACAAAACAAGAAAAAAAAAAAAGAAAUAACGAAAACGAGUAAAAAUAUGCAAAAAUAAUAAACUAAUCGUAAUAAGAAAAAAUCAAGGAAUAACAUAUCAUUUUUUUAUCAUACGGAUUGAACGCCUUUCCUCAUCAUUAAAAUUAAGAAGAAGUAAGAAAGAGAAAUGAUUCGCGUUAUGAGCAACGACAUCGUCUCAUCCAACUGUAUUCUCGGGCACACGUUCACCUGUGCACGCGGGUAUACAACGCAAGAGUAUGAUGUCACCGAUACGAGCUUGGUAUUUGGUACAGGGGAACGCGUGAUUCGCAUGAAAAGCUCAUUGUAGACGAAGCGGUGGACUCGCCGAACGAACGAUUUGGUCAGUCGGUUCUUCGCCAUAUCCGGUCAUCGCCGCUGGCACACGCGCGUCGUCUAAAACCGGAAGUCACGAAGACCCGGGGGAUCCUCCGCUCGCGAUCGAACACUUUCAACCCAUCGAAUGCUUUCUAUAGUUGUGAACACAUUUUCAUCCUUUUUAAAGACAUCCGCUCCCGCUUUUCGUUCGCACUUCCGGUUAGUUACGCGAGUUUGUUGCAAUUUCUAUCGCAAUUCUUAGAUGGAAGGGCAUUGUUCGUUGUAGAGGAAUAAUGUUUAAUUUAAUAAUCUCCAAUAUUUACUAACAAUCUCAAUAUCUCAAUAAUUUUAAUUUUAUUAUUAUCUCUUAAUUUUAUUAUUUAAUCACAAAUAAAUAUAAAAUAAGAAGAAUAUCUAAUAAUAAUUAUUAGUUGAUUUUAUUCGAAGAUAAAUAUACAUAUAUAGUAUAACAUAAAUGUUUGACAAAACAUAUAAUUUUGAAGCGAAUAAAUUAUUACAUUAAAAGUAUCGUGUAUUCUUUUCAGUUAACUCGUUCCCUCGUUUUUUGAUCUGAAUCGAUAUAUAUUUUUACAAUAUGUAUAAUAUGAUAAUAAUUUGUAUACGAGAUGCAAAUAAAAAUUAUAAAAUUUAAAACAAAUCUUUCUAAUUACUUUCUAAUAAAUAAUAUACACCUAUAUAAAGUUCUAUAAUAAAGAGAAUUGUAUAGACAUGAGAGUUGUAUAAGUUAAAAUAAUGAAAUUUUUAAAGAAAUAAGUCUUUCGAGACAAAUAAUAAAUAUAAUAGCAUGAAAUAUAUCAUAAAAGGUCUUUGCCUCAAGAUUUACUUCUGCAUCAUUUUGGUUUCCUUUCUAAACCAGGACUCAUCGAAGAAAGAACAAACAAUUGAUGCAAAAAUUCGCAGCUGUGCCUGUUGAAAAGAUCUUCGUUAACGCCUGCUCGACCGGAAGGUGGUAACUCGUUAAUAGAACGAUCGGGAAGAACAGGAGACGGAGAGAAGGAAUACACGAAUCGUAGAAUCGGUUCCCGACCAAUGGAGUAAGAAGUACAGGGAAACUUCAUCCCCUCUCGAACGUUAGAUCAUUCGACGUCGUCUUCGAAGUCACGACGCCCACGCUAUCAGUUAUUUGGCGUGCCUCCAGUCUCAUGCAGGUGUCUCUUUUGAAUCACGCGUCGAUUCACUGUACAGUAGGAACUCCAUUUAUCUAAACUUGUUUGGGAACCAACCAAUUCGUAUAAAUGGUGUAUUCACGUAAUAGUCUAUUGAUACUUUUCGCUAUGAUUUUUAAUCCAACAAUUUUAUUUACAAUUAUAUCAUGCCACUUUUAAAAUCUUCUUGGAGGAUUGAUUUAUGAGGAAUAUUAAACUUCGAUGAAAAAUGUUUUAAUUUGUUUGAAAAUUAUUUCUUUUACUUAAGAAAAGAUUUAUAGAUUAUAGUAAAAGUUUGAGAAGAUAUAAUGUGAAUAAUUUUGCGAAGUCAUAUGCGAUCCACGUAGAUUGUUUUUGACCGAACUUCUACCGGAUGCGAUGCUGUCUUCAAUGGAAAGCGUUGUAACGUGCUACGCAAGCUAAUUAAUGCAUUAGAAGGACUAUUCUUUCAACGAACUUUUCGAACCUGAAACCUUUAAUAAAUGAAAGGAUAUUUAAAAAAAAAAUGAAAAAAAAGGAAAUGCAGCUUAAGAUUGUUUCUUCAUCAACAUAAGGUUAUAAAUUAUUUUAAAUUCAUUUCGUUUUACUUGAAAUGAAAAUAAUUUUAUCGUAAUAUAUUUAUAAAUUUUUAGGGCUUUCUAAUUGAAAGCAAUAAUUGAAAAUUUGAAAUUAAUUAAAAACAACACUGAAAUGAAAUAUUUAAAAUAAACAUUUUUUUUUAUUAAAAAAAAUGUAAUUAUAGUAAAAGUUAUAAUUUUUAAUUAAUUUUAUAUAUGCAAAUAUAAAAUAUAUAAAAAUAUAUAAAUUAAACAAAGAUAUAAUUUAUUAUAAUAGU